CUAAGGCUUGUUUGCUACUUGAUUAUAUCUAUAUUCAGUUUGGAAGGCAGAAGUGAAUGCAUGUCGUUUUUUGCUUUAGUCUGAGUCUUAUCUCAGUUUUCUUGGGACUUCAAUUCUUAUGUAUUUUUCUCUUGCUUGCGACACACAAUGUUUUUCACUUUAUUUGGAUCAGGUCUCCGAUUGUCCAACGGACUAUUGCGCUUCUGCUGGUCAGAUAUUUAUUGCUUAGCAUGAUGAAAGAUCUGUGUUUUGGAUACUGAGUGAAGGUUUUGUUUAGGGGUUCACCCCUUUCGCCGGAAAAUUACAUUGCGCGUUAGAUAUAUCGCGAUGUUGGAGAUGUGGCAGAUUGUUGGAGAUAGAAAUCAACUGAUGACACUAUUACUUUUACUGGCGGAAAAAGUGAUGAAUAUUAUCCUUGUCCAGGCAUUGCAGUUCCUUCGAAUGUGGCACCAAACCAUAUUCAAAAGACAACUUGAAUUUGCUUAAUGGAAAGUUAAUCUCAGCUUUAGAGAGGCUUGAACUGCUAAUCGAGGUAUGCUCCUCUCCACUCCCCUGAAACCACAACCUACUCCGAUAGAAGAAAACAACAUAAAUAAACAAAAACCUAACUCAUUUCUGUACUUGUUACUUUCAUAUGGUAGAGAGGUUAUUUCUGAUAGACCCUCGGCUCAAAACAAGCAUAUAUAAUCAUAUAGUAUAUAGAAAGAAAAUACAGUAGUAUGAAAGUCAGGGAAGCAAUAAUAAUAACAAGAUAGUAGAAAAACCAAAACACAAGCAACAUCGGAUAGUAAUAGCUCUUGUUCAGAGACAUGUAAACUUUUUAUACCUGUAUGGCAAUGCUUGUUAUAAUUUUCUACCGUUCCUUAAUUUUGGGGAAAUGAUUUCAUAUUUUUUCCUUUAUUUGUGUGCUGUAUAAAACGGGUCAUGGCCUUAAGGUGUUUCAAAGAUUAGCUAGUUUUCCGAAAGAAAUAUCGAGGUGUUUGAGUGGCCAUCUCCUUCCUUUAUUUUUUCCUUUCUAAACUUUUAGCAUGGGGUAGGAUGAAUUUGGAUGGCCUGUAAUUCAAUUGUAUAUUAGGAGUACCUUUUAUAUAGUGUCUGUCCUAUAUAAUUUUUUAUCUUCCAAUCCGUUGUACAUAUUGUAAAACACACAACAUGCUCUAGCGUGCUAUAGAUUUGAGUGAUCAAAAUCUAUUACAAAAUUUUAAUAUAUAUAAUCAUUAAGAUGCUAUCAUUCACUUUUAUUACUAACCAUUGCCGCCAUCUAUCAUUAUCAACUACCAUCACCACCCACAAUCACAUACCAUCCUCAAUCACAAGCACUACCACCAAAUCACUGCAAUCAACAAUCACCAUCACUAGCCACAUGUUACAAUUCAUCAUCACCAACCACCAUUAUCAUACAGCCACAGUCACAAUGACAAUCACCACAUCACCCAUCAUUAUAUAUCGCAAAUUAUAGCUAUCAGUCACCAUCACCAUUAGCAAUUACUAUCAUCCAUCACAAUUAUUAGCUGCCACCACCAACGACCACCAUCAACUACCAAUACUAACAGUUAUUGUUAGCCACCGUCACUACUAACUACUAGCUACUAUCCACAACCAACAUCUCCUCAGUUGGCACCAUCAACCAUAUUAUUUUUAAAAGUAUUUUAUUGAUAUAGUAUUAGAUUGUUAGUAUUUUAGGUUAGUUUUAUUUUUAAUGUAAAUAAAGACAAUUUUUAUAUAUUCACAUGCUUAAUUAUUGAGUAUUCAGAUUUUAAUAUACAUUUUAGUAUUACCUUUUAGUUUUAAUAAAAACAAAUGAGGUCUAGUAAUGAUCACUCUACUUAAUUGAAUCUUCAGACAGAAUUUAAUUACCGCACAAAAUUUGUUAGAUUUUCGUAUUCAAGCAAGUAUAGAAAGUAAAAUAAAGUAAAUUGCAGUAAAUGAGACAUGCUAUUUUAAUACUGAUUCAAUAAGUCUAUAUAUUUGUCCGCUUGAGUUAUAAGGUGGUUAUACUCUUGGUGGUAACAUCACGUGCCACGUCAACGCUUUAUUACUACCAUAAUUCCACGUAAAAAAAAAAGAUAAUACAAGAAUUACUACAUAUAUCCACCUCAAGCUUUUGUGCUGAUUUCUUGGCCAGCGCAGGAGCUGAGCAGAAAAUAGGAUAGUAAGUAUUGUAACUUUUGGCAGAAUGGGAGUUUACGUCCCCCCUUCCCCUCCUCCAAUUUUACUCCAAUAAUAUCUACAGGUACAUAAAUCAACUUCUCACUUUAAGCCGCGGAGUUAGAAUUUGAAAUUUAUGGUUUCGAAUUAAAGUUGUUGGUUUUUAAAUUAAUAAUAAUUUAUACAUAUUCAAUAAAUUUCAUCAAAUAAAUAUAAAGUAUAAACCAAAACUAGUGAGUUGGACCGAAUCCGUAAUACGCUCACUAGCUCCGCCCCUGACUUUGAGAAGCAGUCAAAGAAGAUCGAUGGCUUUAAUUUUGUUUGUUGACAGACUUCAAUUUAUUACUUCUAACAACCUUCUUUGAUGCUUUUCGUUUGCCAUGUUGGCAACUUGUCUCAAGAAGAUAUGGAACUCUCACCGCCACUCGUUUAGAAGUUGAAUGUUAUACUUUGCAUAUAUUUUCUUUAUAUGUCAAACCAAAAUACACCCUCCUUCCUUUAAGUGAAGUUGUUCGAAUUUCAUGAGUUCAAUAAGUUGUUCUUUAAUACAUUAAAAUGAAUUGUUUAAUUAUUACUUUUUCUUGUGUCGAGAGUUUACCGGAAAUAACUUCUCUAUUCCUCCGAAGUAGGGGUAAGGUCUGCGUGCACACUACCCUCCCCAGACCCCAUUUGUGGGAUCUCACUGGAUUGUUGUUGUUGUUGAAUUGUUUAAUUAUUACAGUCUACGGUACUUUUUACGUAGUUUUCAAAUAUACAUAAAUUUUGUUUUAAAAAACUUAAAAAUUUUAUAUUUAUAUGUACGGUCAAAAUUAAUAAGUUUGAAUUUCAAAAAGCAAAAAAUAUUAUAUAAAUUAAUAUAUAUGAAGUGCCACUUAGCAAAAAUAAAGCCAAGACCACUUGUAAUGUGAAUAAAGGACUUCCUUUGCUAAAUUCUUUACCUCUUUUCUUUGAAGUUCUUUGGUAUUUCAAACGAAUAUAAAUCAAACUUCACUACUUAAUGCUCUCAUAGACACUAUCUCUUCUUACUGAAGUUAGGAAAAAAGGGACCUUUAUUCCUAAAAAAGGAGAAUUUUGGGUUCGAGCCGUGAAACCAGCUGCUGAUACUUGCAUCAAGGUAGGCUAUCUACAUUACACUCCCUUUUCCGGACCCUGUAUAAACAUGAAGUGCUUCAGUGAAACAAUGCAAUUUAAAAUAUUAAUUAAAGUUUACUUUGUAUGACACUUGAGAAGUGAAAAGUGACAAACAUCUUGGAACAAAAAGAGAGUAUUAACACUUGUAGAUUUUCUUAAAUAUAUUUUUCGAAUAUUCAGAUAAUCAGAUUAGUAAGUAGUAAAACGACUUAGUAAAACUAGAGCUGGAUUUUCCAGCUAGUUGAUAGUGAGUAGAGCGGACUGUUGACCAAGCUGGAAAUGUGAUGGAAGCUAACUUGUCUCAAGAACAAAAGAAAAACCUUUGCACUUUCUGUUUUUAAAUAAGUUGUGGAAAUAAAAGAGAGAUUCUGCCUUUCUCUUUAUGCACAAACUCCAAAUUGCAUCACACAUAUACUCAUGCAGAAGAUAAGGUUGACUCGCAAUCAAUAAAAGUUCUUUGUUCAAAAACACCAACUUUACGAAACAACGCUUUCUGGAAACUUUGUUGUUGCUUGGAACAAGCGGUAGAACGCAUUGAUUCCAUCAUGAAUAAGUGAAUUUGAAGUUUUCUCCAUUAUAGGGAUGGGUGGCAUCGGCAAGACAACUUUAGCUAACAAAAUUUGAUGUGAUCCAUUCAUUAUGUCUCGCUUUGACAUUCGUGCAAAAGUUACUAUCUCACAAGAGUAUUGAGUGAGAAAUGUACUACUAGGCCUUCUUUCUACUAUAAGUGGAAUGACUAAUGAAUAUUUUGAGCAAGAUGAUAGCCAACUAGCAGACCAACUACAAAAGCUUCUAAAAGGCAGGAGAUACUUGAUCAUCAUUGAUGACAUAUGGACUACAGAAGCUUGGGAUGAUAUAAAACUAUGUUUUCCGGACUAUACCAAUGGAAGCUGAAUACUCUUGACCACUCGGAAUGUGGAAGUGGCUGAAUAUGCUAGCUCAGGUGAUGGACGUAUCAAGUUGUGUAGAAUGCAUAAUGUGAUCCGGGAACUCUGCUUCAAGAAAGCUCGAAACAUGAAUAUUGUGAAUUUUAUUGGAGAAAAGAAUGAUCAAAAUUCAUGUGCACAAUCCAUGCAUUUGUCCUCAAAUAGUAGAGGUCGGACCAGUAACCAAUUGAACUAUAGGGUCCGCGCUCAAACAUAAAGAGGAAGAGGAAGAGGAAGAGGAAGAGGAAGAGAAAGACGACGAAGAUGUUAUUGCUACAGUUGCUCUGAUAUUUAUUUGAGCCGCUAAGUUUAAUUAUACAUUU